rnacentral:rRNA from 1 species
CACGUAGGGCGCAAGCGUUGUCCGGAAUUAUUGGGCGUAAAGAGCUCGUAGGCGGUCUGUCGCGUCUGCUGUGAAAACUCGGGGCUUAACCCCGGGCCUGCAGUGGGUACGGGCAGACUAGAGUGCGGUAGGGGAGACUGGAAUUCCUGGUGUAGAGGUGAAAUUCGUAGAUAUCGGGAGGAACACCAGUGGCGAAGGCGGCGACCUGGGCCAAUAUUGACGCUGAGGUGCGAAAGCGUGGGGAGCAAACAGG